GUGUGUCCAGUGUUCUGUGUUUGUUUGUUCCGGAUCUCUGAUUAAACUGCAACUCAACAUUACUGACUACACUCCUGGAAGACAGCCAAUUAAAGCUGAUUUAUGACCCUGACGGCGUGUGAUGUGUUUACGCUGCUGUUUUUAGCUCUUGUAGACAUGAGUCUCCCUGAAUACUGGGCCAAACGAAGGUGUCUCAAGCUUUGGAAGAUCAAAUGCUGCGCUGGUUAAUUAGUAGCUGCUGUGUUGGUGUCUGGCGGCCUGCGGGUGUUCGUUAGCUGAAGAUGCCCACAGGGAAAUUUACACGCUCCCUUUAGCUGCUGUUUUCCUCUUCCACACUCAAGAACACAAUAUCUGUGGAGUCUGACAGAAACCUAGUGUGUCUUUAAAUGACUGACUGAAUGAUCAAAACGUCUAAUGUGACGGGUUGUAAAUCGCUGUCUUCUAAUGUGACCCUGGUCUUCUGAUCUCAGAUCCGUUCCAGACCUCCUGAGACCGGGACAGAAUGUAACGUGUACCUGUGAGUCUCAUCACGGCCAGGUGAUGUGUCUGUGGAGGGUUAAUUUAUGACACAGAGAGAAGCUGAUAAUUGUAUCUCCUGUCUGCUGGUUCUGAUGUAUAGAGUUAAUAACGUUUGUCCUGCUUGAGUCCUGUGUUUGACCUCUUUCAGACCGUUCCUGAGUUACAGCUGUUCAAAGAAGGCCCUUUUAAUCUGCUAACGAGCGUGUUUGUGUUGUUGUUUGAUGGUGAAGCUGUCAGGAGGCUCGUAAAUGCAGGCACACCCUGUCGACUCAAUCUCGUAAACGCUUCACGCAACCCAAGGACACGGCGAACCGCCUGUUUUCAGCUGGUACUUUAGUCAUCCUUCAAUUAUUCGCUGUCUUUCUUCUGUGUUCAAAUUCAAACAGCUUUUGAAGCGUCAUGCUGAUGUUUAGGACUAAUUUUACAGCGUUUGACCUCUCCUUGUAAGGAUUUACAGGUCACACCUUAGGUUUUGGCUUAUUAAGUGCCGUUCGCAACACAUUCGAUCUGUUUUUGUCAAACAGGAUAUUCAGAUUCAUAUUUGUGUUUAUCUAUUUAGGCUUUUUGACUGGCACGUGGAGGUUGAAUCCCAAAAAGUCUAUAAAUUUUGAAUAUUACUGCUGCAACUUUAAAGUUAAUGUUAAACAGCACUGCAUCAUCAGGAUUUUAAGAAA